CGGGGUGAGUAAUGUCUGGGAAACUGCCUGAUGGAGGGGGAUAACUGCUGGAAACGGUAGCUAAUACCGCAUAACGUCGCGAGACCAAAGAGGGGGACCUUCGGGCCUCUUGCCAUCGGAUGUGCCCAGAUGGGAUUAGCUAGUAGGUGGGGUAACGGCUCACCUAGGCGACGAUCCCUAGCUGGUCUGAGAGGAUGACCAGCCACACUGGAACUGAGACACGGUCCAG
rnacentral:rRNA from 1 species